UUCUUUGAUUUCCCUUUCAAUGGCGAGCGGAAAAUCCCAAAAGGCAACCUUGGCGGACGCCAUAUCAUAUGUUUUGAGAGUGAAGGAAAGAUUUGAAAGAAACAGAGAAAAGUAUGAACGUUUCCUUGAAACUGUCAAAGAUUACGGGGACCGAAAAAUUGAUUUUGUGGAACUCUAUGCAACACUAGCGAACUUGUUUCAAGACCACCCAGAUCUUAUUUGGGGCUUACUUAGGUUCUUGCCCAGCAAGUAAUCACUCACUGUGAGAUCAUUCUUGAACUUGGACCCCAAUGUUGUAAUUUUAGGGACGAAGGGAAAAUUAUUAUUGUAAUAUUUUAAUCUCUCAACAACCAAUAUUGUGCGAUCUUCUAUCUUCUUUCUGCAAAUUCCUUUUUCGCUCUGCAACGACUUAUGGCGUUUUCCACACUGCCCAUCUUCUUCUUCUUCGUUUUCGUCUUCAUAAUUAUCCCAAUUUCUUAUUCCUUACCCUUCACUGUACUCCACGUCUCGAAUGUUUGCAACAAGGUGUUAUAGAUGUCCAGCUGGUUUUUGCCUCAAUGGGAUUCCGACAUCUAUGUUGAUCAUCUAGUUCAUUAUUAUGACUACAGGUGAAGAAAACGAAGGUUUUAACUUCAAUUUUGUUGGUCUCUCCCAGGUGAUUCGUGAGGACUUGAGGACUUUAGUUUAACUCAAGACUUUGUUUCGUUUGACGAUGCCGUUCUGGUCCAAAGGAAACGACCUGGUCCGAAUAUUACCUGGAUGAAUAGUUUGAACCUGUUUACCCCCACAACAGCUUUUCUUUCCUGUGGAACAAGAUUGUAUGAGUACAGAUUAACUUCAAUUGUCGGUGUCUCGGCUUAUUUCCGCGCAGAACGAGGCUUAUCAUUGAGGAUUGGAUUGGAUUGAGAAGCUUAGAUGAAGAUGGAAGAGUGAAAUUUAUAGAAGUUGCAGGAGGUCAUCUUGGAAUAUUUUAUAUUGAUGUAAAAAAGUAUAUUGUGCCUUACUUAGAGGAGGAACAUCAAUCUUCUCAAUUUGAUUUGCAAAUUUAAAAAGCAAGCAAUGUUUGUUUGAGUU